rnacentral:lncRNA from 1 species
CUCGCACUCCUCCUUAAGGUAUUAUUUCUAUCUCUCUCUAGUUUUAUUUAAUUUAUUUUUAAUUAGUUUUAAUUAUUUGUUUACUUACUUAAUUUAUUUAUUUAUUCUUAAUUCUUGUUUUAGUUUAAUUAACUAGUUUUAGUUAGUUCAUUUAAUUUAUAAUUUAGUUAACUAAUUGGUAAUUUCCUAAUUUGUUUAAAUUAGUUUAAUUUGGUAUCCAAAUAAUAGUUUAGACUUAUUUAAUUACUUUAAUUAGUUCCAAUUAACUAAUUUAAUUAAUUUCCAAUUUAGUUAAUUAAUUUAAUAAAUUACUAAAUUUGUUUAAUUUGUUAUGAAAGUCUUGUAUUAAAAAAUUAACAUUUAUUUAUAUAUUUAUUUUUCAAAAAUUACUUUUAAAUUAGUAAUUAAUUAUUUUGAAAUUAUUUUGGACUUUUGGAAAAAAAAAUUUAAUUAUUUUGAACUUUUGAAAAAUGUUUUCCAAGUCCCGAACCUAAACCCUAACUUUCAGUCCUUGUCCAAAUUUAUUUCGAACCUAUUUCGAGACCUUAAACCCUAACCCUAAUUCAAUUCCUAGGGUAGGGAACACGUUUAUACUACUUAGGGUUUCUAGGAUAUUAAAAAGAAUUACAUUAACUUAAUUAUUUUUUAAAACUUGGCCGGGGUGCCCCCUACUGGGUAAAUGAUCAUAUGUGAUGCUCACCCCUACUGUUGGUGUAGAUUACAAUCAGGUUGACUACCUAGACGCUAACUAGGUUCGUGGCUCGGCAUCUUAAACUUGUCAUUUCUCCCUGUGCUUCACGUGAUUUGCAGGUCAAGAAACUCAACUUUUGUAAUCUUGUAAAAUAUGUUGUAACUAGGUUUUGUGUACCCUUUAAACACUCUUGGCUUGUAGUCUUUGUCUAGGGUUGAGUUUGAACUCCUCAUAUUUUGUAUCUUCAAAACUUGGUUGCUUGGAAACUCAAACCCUUGUAACCGUUGGGGUUGGUACUUGUCAUUGAAAUACUCUGAUCCAACCAUAUAUUAACCAACAGUUCGUUUGAUAACCAUUUUACUAUGGACGGACUAUCCUUAUGACUAACAUGGCUUCAAAUUUCUUAAGUGUAGAAGAGUUCAAUAGAAAACCUACCACCAUGACUUAAUUUGGUUUCAAAACUCCUCAAUUAUGCUUAGAAUUCCCCAUUUUCUUUUUUCUUUUUAAUUUAAAUUUAAAUUUUUUUAUUUUUAUAAAAACGCAAUAGAAUUUUAUUAGAUUAAUAGGAAAAAUAGAUUACAAAAGACACAAACUGUAAAGAGAGCCAUCACAAUAGCAAUAUGGUAGACAUGAAUAAAAACUUUCCUAAUGACUUGAACCAGCCAAGAAGCAAACAAUUUCUUACAAUCGGUGACAAGUCAUCAUUUCUUAAAUGGAAAAUUAUAAUCUAACCCCACUGCUACCUAGAAGAAAACGUUGCUAUCAAGUGUCUAAAAAAGAAAAGUAAAAGACAGAGGAAAGGUUUGCCCCUAAUCUAUAGAAGGCUAUAAUAAAAUAAUAAUAAAGCCUAAAAAACCCAUACCCUUAUGGGCAUUGAAUAACAUUAUGAUCAAGUUGUUCUUAUGUGUUGAAGUUGCCGGAAAUGCAUCUGGGCCGUUACAUUACUUGGAUCAGAAGCAACAACAGCAUUUUGAUCCUCACCUUUCUUCAUGUUUUCUCCAAAGAUUGAAAGCUUGUCUGAAAUAGAAGAAAAAAAAAGAUGAACAAGAGAGCCCACAACAAGGGGAAGAGAUGAGCAUAUGAUUGCAGCCUGUCUGAUGUUCAUAGCUUAUGAUUAAAAAUAAAAUGGCUUGCUCUGGUUUUCUGGACUUGGAUCAAACAAUAGCUCAAUUUGGAGAUUGUUAUGUGGUGUAUUGGGUAGAAUUUAUAAUGGAGAGUGGAGUGGAGGACAGUUGUCGCUUUUUAAGUCGAUAGAUAUUUCAACGUACGUGAUGAUCAAGCUAGCCACUCUAGUUGACCAUUACUGUGCAGAAAUAAUGCAAUGUAAUGUAACUGGUCACCCCCAUGCAAAUUGCAAUACGAAGCCUCAAUUGGUGUCGGCAUGUUAGCCACCU